rnacentral:rRNA from 1 species
AGCGAACGCUGGCGGCAGGCCUAACACAUGCAAGUCGAACGAUCCUUCGGGAAAGUGGCAGACGGGUGAGUAACGCGUGGGAACCUUCCCAAUGGUACGGAAUAGCUCAGGGAAACUUGAGGUAAUACCGUAUAAGCCCCUAGGGGGAAAGAUUUAUCGCCAUUGGAUGGGCCCGCGUCGGAUUAGCUAGUUGGUGAGGUAAUGGCUCACCAAGGCGACGAUCCGUAGCUGGUUUGAGAGAAUGACCAGCCACACUGGGACUGAGACACGGCCCAGACUCCUACGGGAGGCAGCAGUGGGGAAUCUUGGACAAUGGGCGAAAGCCUGAUCCAGCCAUGCCGCGUGAGUGACGAAGGCCUUAGGGUUGUAAAGCUCUUUUGCCGGGGACGAUAAUGACGGUACCCGGAGAAUAAGUCCCGGCUAACUUCGUGCCAGCAGCCGCGGUAACAC